ACUGCCUGAUGGAGGGGGAUAACUACUGGAAACGGUAGCUAAUACCGCAUAACGUCGCAAGACCAAAGAGGGGGACCUUCGGGCCUCUUGCCAUCGGAUGUGCCCAGAUGGGAUUAGCUUGUUGGUGGGGUAACGGCUCACCUAGGCGACGAUCCCUAGCUGGUCUGAGAGGAUGACCAGCCACACUGGAACUGAGACACGGUCCAGACUCCUACGGGAGGCAGCAGUGGGGAAUAUUGCACAAUGGGCGCAAGCCUGAUGCAGCCAUGCCGCGUGUAUGAAGAAGGCCUUCGGGUUGUAAAGUACUUUCAGCGGGGAGGAAGGGAGUAAAGUUAAUACCUUUGCUCAUUGACGUUACCCG
rnacentral:rRNA from 1 species